ensembl:snoRNA small nucleolar RNA SNORA13
UGCCUUUGUGUUGCCCAUUCAUUGUCUCCAUAGUGAAUGAGGUGUCAACCAAGGCAUACAGUAACCUUGUAACAUUUUUGUUUGGAACGAGUCAUCACUGAUUCCUUUCAUUACAUCAAACUACAAGAACACAU